rnacentral:rRNA from 1 species
UACGGGGGGGGGUAAGCGUUGUUCGGAAUUACUGGGCGUAAAGGGCUCGUAGGCGGCCAACUAAGUCGGAUGUGAAAUCCCCAAGCUUAACUUGGGAACUGCAUCCGAUACUGGAUGGCUUGAAUCCGGGAGAGGGAUGCAGAAUUCCAGGUGUAGCGGUGAAAUGCGUAGAUAUCUGGAGGAAUACCGGUGGCGAAGGCGGCAUCCUGGACCGGCAUUGACGCUGAGGAGCGAAAGCUAGGGGAGCAAACGGG